rnacentral:rRNA from 1 species
UAGUAAUCGUGGAUCAGAAUGCCACGGUGAAUACGUUCCCGGGCCUUGUACACACCGCCCGUCACACCAUGGGAGUGGGCUGCAAAAGAAGUAGGUAGUUUAACCUUCGGGAGGACGCUUACCACUUUGUGGUUCAUGACUGGGGUGAAGUCGUAACAAGGUAGCGCUAGGGGAACCUGGCGCUGGAUCACCUCCUUA